UUGAAUAAACUUGGUAUAAGCUGCUGCUGGUCCUUUGGGGCAUGUGCACGCCUAUUCCGAUUUUAUAACCACCUGUGCACUUUGUGUAGAUCUGAAUUACUCUCGAAGUAACUCGGUUUAAAAGAAUUGCAGUGUACAAAUGCCUGCUUUUCUUUAUAUUCAGAUCUAUGUUUUAUUAAACCUUAUAUAAAGUAUUUGAAUGUGAUGGUUUAGGCACCAUUUGCCUAUAAUAUAUAAA
rnacentral:misc_RNA from 1 species